CAUGAAAAAUGAUUUCAAUAUAAACCGUAAAAUAUUUUAAUACUCCGUAUACGUUUUUAGAAUUUAAAAUAUAUGUUCAUUUAUUAUAUGUUCUUCUUGUAUAAACAAUAUAUUCUUUAUAUUUGAACUAAUUCAUUUAAAAACAGUGAACAUUGUGUAACUGAGUGCAUAAAUCACAAUUUGGUUCAUAACUUUGUGUGUAAACAAACUUAAUUAGUAUAGGGUUCGUUCGGUAUCAUCGUCGGUUUCUAGUUUUUGGUUUUGAGAGUCUUGUGAUUUAGAUUGAAUCAUGAACUAGAAAAUAAUCGUACUUAUAUUAAUCAUGUUGAUUUUGAAAACUGACAACAAAAAACUAGAAACUAUUUUUUGUUGUUUUAUAUUUUGGUUUUUAGUUUUGUAAAAAACUGAAAACUGAAAAUAAAAAAACGAUAUCGAACAGGGCCUAAGUACUCCUGACAGUAUGUCCCGUUUACACUCCCAAAUCUAUAUCCCUGGUGAUUAUACCAGGGUAUAGCCAUCUAUUGCUAUACUCCCUCACAAAAGAAAAUAAAGAAGCUAUAUAGGCACGUGCUUUCUCUUAAAAAAAAAUUGCAUAUAAAUUUUUCUAAAACCAGAAAUCUCACAUUUUUGUUUUCUCUCUCCUCAUUUUCUCUCUCCCCAAAAGUUUCUCUAUCCUCAUUUAUAUGUGAUUUUUUUUCUAAUCUCAAGUAACAAUGUCGAUCGGAGAAACCGCUUGAGCUUGCGCCGCCUUAUACUUCACGACAAUAAAGUCGGUGCCACUAGCUCCUACAACAAUGAGGAAAUUGAAACCGUGAAGGUCAAAUAUUGUGUUCAAAUCACACUUCAUAGACACAUUCAAAAGUACCAGAAUUCGAGACUACAUCAAAAGCAAGAUUCAAGAUUGAUGAAAUAGAAAAAUAAGAGGAUGAUUUGUACAAGUAUCUUGUAACUCAAAGUACAAUAACUAUAUUCAUUUUAAAAUUAGUAAAUACUCAUUUUUCAAUCAAUAAUGUUCAUUUCUAUUUUGGUUGAAUAAAUGAGGAUUUCCAAAUA